UGAUAGUCUUGCAUUGGUCUCUUUUCAGUACUCGUUUUACAUGAGCCGGAUAGAGGACAGACUGAACAUAUAACCUGGAAGCGGACAUAAAACCUUAUAGCUACAGACACCAACUCAGACACAUUUCAAUUCACAAGAGAUCAGGCAAGAUGUGCAUCAGCAGAUACAGAUGAACACCCAAGUUGCAACAGUAACAAGAAAGAGCCUCAGACUAAGUCACUGAGCGAGAUGCAGAUAGUGUACUAUGCCAAACAGAACAGCUUGGCAGACAAACACGAAAAGUUAUACGAAAGAAUCACAGUACAGACUGAUAUUCUCAUUAAAAAAAUCCAAAAAUGACCUGAAACAUAUUUCCCUUGGCAACCUCUUCUAAAGGUUCCGGAUCAACUGCUGGUUCCCCCCAAAUCAACCGCAGAUUAUGAAGAACAGCACAUGCAAUGAUGAUGCGGCUGACCUUGGCAGGCUUCAUUCUAAUCUGUUUUUAACAGAAAUUGGAGGAAUAACAUUGAAAAAUAAUGUUACAUCAAAAGUCAUUGUUAAAAAUAUUGUCAAAUUUGUCCCCAAUGCUUGAUGCAGAGUAAAUAGUAACAACUACUUUUUCCCCCGAGUGUAACAAUUUACUAAUAUCUUAUGUAUUUGUUAUGAGCUCUAACAGAUACACAAAAACAUAUCUAAAAAUGUUUUAAUUG